rnacentral:tRNA from 1 species
GGAUUGUAGCUCAGUGAUAGAGCAAUAGCCUUGCACACGUGUGGUGCUGGGUUCAAUCCUCAGCACCA